CUUAAACCUAUUUCCCUGUACAACAUUUUAUAUAGAAUUAUUGCUAAGGUUCUUGCUAACCACCUAAAAUAUAUUUUCCCAGAUAUUAUUUCUCCUUUUCAGUCUGCUUUUGUUCCAGGGCUUCUGAUCACGGAUAAUGUUAUGGUUGAAUUUGAGAUUAUUCAUCACAUGAAAAGGAAGGUAAUAAGGGUGAGGUUGCUUUGAAGAUUGACAUUAGCAAAGCCUAUGAUAAAGUGGAUUGGAAUUAUUUAAGACAGAUGAUGCUUCAGCUAGGUUUCGAUCCUACAUGGGUUUCUCUUAUUAUGACUUGUGUCUCUACUGUCUCUUAUAAAGUGGCUUUAAAUGGUACUGAGAUUGGGCUUAUUUAUCCUCUUCGUGGACUCCAUCAUGGUGAUCCAUUGUCUCCCUACUUGUUCAUUAUUUGUGCUGAAGGUUUAUCUAUGUUGUUCAAUAGAGCGAAGCGGAG
rnacentral:misc_RNA from 1 species